rnacentral:lncRNA from 1 species
UGGUGCAUGAAGAUAUAUUGAAGGGCAUUAUAUGAUGCCCAAAGAGGAUGGCUAUACAACUUACAAUAUAAUAAAAAAGAGAAUUUGUAUAUAAUUUUUUUCUUAUGGGUUCUUUAAAAUAUAGUUAAUUCAUGUUACUGUUUAUUCAUGUUGCAAUUAGUAAGUAAUGGUAGCAUUUAAUAUACAAAUUUAUUAAUAUGUUUUAUCAAAAUAAUUUAAUAUUUUAAUAAAUUAUUAAUACAAAUUCUAAUCAAAUCAGUGACCAAGACUUUUGGCGGAUCAACUUUCAUGUAAGUUUAAUAUCUACACCUUGGAUCAUUGCCUAGACAUUGUGCAUUCUAUAUGAUCUUGAUUGUGGAUUUUAUUCCUAUCCUCUGUAAUUUUGUCAUUUAUACUAAUUCAUAUUAUUGAAUUUCACUCAAAGUUCUAUUUAUAUCCAAAUAAUUUUUAGCUUAUAUCUGUAUUUCUUUGUAGCAAAUAUGGAUAUGCUUAAUAUAUGAUUGACACCAUAGCCUUUUAAAAUAUAUAUGAAUACUAACUUGUUGAAUAUCUAUAUUCAUAUCCAUGCUUACUGAAAAUUAUUAAUUAACACAUGGCCAAGCAAAUAC